rnacentral:rRNA from 1 species
CCUACGGGUGACAGCAGUGAGGAAUAUUGGUCAAUGGGCGAGAGCCUGAACCAGCCAAGCCGCGUGAAGGAUGACGGCCCUACGGGUUGUAAACUUCUUUUGUCAGGGAGCAAUUGGGUCCACGCGUGGGCUCAGCGAGAGUACCUGAAGAAAAAGCAUCGGCAAACUCCGUGCCAGCAGCCGCGCUAAUACGGAGGAUGAGAGCGUUAUCCGGAUUUAUUGGGUUUAAGGGGUGCGUAGGCGGAAUAUCAAGUCAGCGGUAAAAAUUCGGGGCUCAACCCCGUCGUGCCGUUGAAACUGGUGUUCUUGAGUGGGCGAGAGGUAUGCGGAAUGCGUGGUGUAGCGGUGAAAUGCAUAGAUAUCACGCAGAACUCCGAUUGCGAAGGCAGCAUACCGGCGCGCAACUGACGCUGAGGCACGAAAGCGUGGGUAUCGAACAGGAUUAGAUACCCGGGUAGUC